rnacentral:rRNA from 1 species
AGAGUUAAAAGUACGUGAAAUUGCUAAAAGGGAAACAUUUGGCACCAGUGUUUGGGGAAGGGAAAUCAGCCUCAGAAACUGGGGUGCACUUUCCCUCCUCCUGGUCAACAUCAGUUUCGCCUGCCGUAAAAGAGCCAAGAGAAGGUAGGUGUUGAGUCACCGUUAUAGCUCUGGCCGAUGCGGUGGGUGGGACUGAGGACUGCGACGCAUGCCUUUGGCUGGCUAAUUGGCAGUUGUGGUGGUGGUGAGUGUGGACAGCGUGCUGGCCAUGUUUGCCUACCCCUACAGCUGUUAAGCAGGCACAAAUGCGUCUAGGAUGUUGACGAAAUGGUUCUAAAUGACC